rnacentral:tRNA from 1 species
UGGAGAAUGCAGCUCAAUGGUAGAGUGCUAAUUUAGCAUAAUGUGAGGCCCUAGGUUUGAUCCCUAGCACUGCAG